ensembl:snoRNA LOC120097993 small nucleolar RNA SNORA17
CCAGUCCCUAGGGUCAUUGAAGUUGUGACUGUUGUGUCCCAUGUUGCAUCAGUAGGUGGCAGAAAAGCGAAAGGCUAUGUUUACACUUAGUGUUUUGACCUUCGAACAUCUGAAUGAUUAGUAGCCUAACAUU